rnacentral:rRNA from 1 species
CCUACGGGAGGCUGCAGUGGGGAAUAUUGCACAAUGGGGGAAACCCUGAUGCAGCGACGCCGCGUGAGUGAAGAAGUAAUUCGUUAUGUAAAGCUCUAUCAGCAGGGAAGAAAAUGACGGUACCUGAGUAAGAAGCCCCGGCUAACUACGUGCCAGCAGCCGCGGUAAUACGUAGGGGGCAAGCGUUAUCCGGAUUUACUGGGUGUAAAGGGAGCGUAGACGGGAGUGCAAGUCUGGAGUGAAAGGCGGGGGCUCAACCCCCGGACUGCUCUGGAAACUGUACGGCUGGAGUGCGGGAGAGGUAAGUGGAAUUCCUAGGGUAGCGGUGAAAUGCGUAGAUAUUAGGAGGAACACCAGUGGCGAAGGCGGCUUACUGGACUGUAACUGACGUGGAGGCUCGAAAGCGUGGGGAGCAAACAGGAUUAGAUACCCGAGUAGUC